UACGUAGGGUGCAAGCGUUUAAUCGGAAUUACUGGGCGUAAAGCGUGCGCAGGCGGUGAUGUAAGACAGAUGUGAAAUCCCCGGGCUUAACCUGGGAACUGCAUUUGUGACUGCAUCGCUGGAGUGCGGCAGAGGGGGAUGGAAUUCCGCGUGUAGCAGUGAAAUGCGUAGAUAUGCGGAGGAACACCGAUGGCGAAGGCAAUCCCCUGGGCCUGCACUGACGCUCAUGCACGAAAGCGUGGGGAGCAAACAGG
rnacentral:rRNA from 1 species